rnacentral:tRNA from 1 species
GCAAGGAUGGAGCAACGGUCGGCUCGUCAGGUUCAUACCCUGGAAACCAGUGGGUUCAAUUCCCUCCCUUGCA